rnacentral:snRNA from 1 species
GUGCUCACUUCAGCAGCACAUACACUACAACUGAAAUGCUACAGAGAACAUUAGCAUGGCCCCUACACAGGGUUGACAAGCAAAUUUGUGAGGUGUUUCGUAUUUUU